CGGAGAGCUUGCUCGAAGAUGGUGAGAGUGGCGCACGGGUGCGUAACGCGUGAGCAACCUACCUCUAUCAGGGGGAUAGCCUCUCGAAAGAGAGAUUAACACCGCAUAACAUCAACAGUUCGCAUGUUCGGUUGAUUAAAUAUUUAUAGGAUAGAGAUGGGCUCGCGUGACAUUAGCUAGUUGGUAGGGUAACGGCCUACCAAGGCGACGAUGUCUAGGGGCUCUGAGAGGAGAAUCCCCCACACUGGUACUGAGACACGGACCAGACUCCUACGGGAGGCAGCAGUAAGGAAUAUUGGUCAAUGGGCGGAAGCCUGAACCAGCCAUGCCGCGUGCAGGAUGACUGCCCUAUGGGUUGUAAACUGCUUUUGUCCAGGAAUAAACCUAAAUACGUGUAUUUAGCUGAAUGUACUGGAAGAAUAAGGAUCGGCUAACUCCGUGCCAGCAGCCGCGGUAAUACGGAGGAUCCGAGCGUUAUCCGGAUUUAUUGGGUUUAAAGGGUGCGUAGGCGGCCUAUUAAGUCAGGGGUGAAAUACGGUGGCUCAACCAUCGCAGUGCCUUUGAUACUGAUGGGCUUGAAUCCAUUUGAAGUGGGCGGAAUAAGACAAGUAGCGGUGAAAUGCAUAGAUAUGUCUUAGAACUCCGAU
rnacentral:rRNA from 1 species